rnacentral:rRNA from 1 species
CAAGCGAUGGGGUGACGCAGGAAGGUAGCUGGGCCAGUCAGUGGUUGUACUGGUGUAAGAGUGUAGGCCGUGACAUAGGCAAAUCCGUGUCACAUUAAGGCUGAGACUUGAUGCAUACCCGUUGUGGGGAAUUCAGUGAUCCUAUGCUGCCGAGAAAAGCCUCUAGUGAGUUCAUACACGGCCCGUACCCCAAACCGACACAGGUGAUCAGGUAGAGAAUACCAAGGCGAUCGAGAGAACUGUGGUUAAGGAACUCGGCAAAAUGCCCCCGUAACUUCGGGAGAAGGGGGACCAUGCCCGGUGAACAUCUUCACGGUGGGAGCUGGGUGUGGUCGCAGAGACCAGAGAGAAGCGACUGUUUACUAAAAACACAGGUCCGUGCGAAGACGUAAGUCGAUGUAUACGGACUGACGCCUGCCCGGUGCUGGAAGGUUAAGAGGACCGGUUAGCCGUAAGGCGAAGCUGAGAAUUUAAGCCCCAGUAAACGGCGGUGGUAACUAUAACCAUCCUAAGGUAGCGAAAUUCCUUGUCGGGUAAGUUCCGACCUGCACGAAUGGCGUAACGACUUCUCUGCUGUCUCGACCACAGACUCGGCGAAAUUGCACUACGAGUAAAGAUGCUCGUUACGCGCGGCAGGACGAAAAGACCCCGGGACCUUUACUAUAGCUUGGUAUUGGCGUUCGAUUCGGUUUGUGUAGGAUAGGAGGGAGACUGUGAAGCAUGCACGCCAGUGUGUGUGGAGUCGUUGUUGAAAUACCACUCUGAUCGUAUUGGACGUCUAACCUCGGCCCAUGAUCUGGGUUAGGGACAGUGCCUGGUGGGUAGUUUAACUGGGGCGGUUGCCUCCUAAAGAGUGACGGAGGCGCCCAAAGGUUCCCUCAGCCUGGAUGGCAAUCAGGUGUUGAGUGCAAGUGCACAAGGGAGCUUGACUGUGAGACUGACACGUCGAGCAGGGACGAAAGUCGGGACUAGUGAUCCGGCACCGGCAAGUGGAAGCGGUGUCGCUCAACGGAUAAAAGGUACCCCGGGGAUAACAGGCUGAUCUUCCCCAAGAGUCCAUAUCGACGGGAUGGUUUGGCACCUCGAUGUCGGCUCGUCGCAUCCUGGGGCUGGAGUAGGUCCCAAGGGUUGGGCUGUUCGCCCAUUAAAGCGGCACGCGAGCUGGGUUUAGAACGUCGUGAGACAGUUCGGUCUCUAUCCGCCGCGCGCGUAAGAAACUUGAGGAAGGCUGUCCCUAGUACGAGAGGACCGGGACGGACGAACCUCUGGUGUGCCAGUUGUUCCACCAGGAGCAUGGCUGGUUAGCUACGUUCGGAAGGGAUAACCGCUGAAAGCAUCUAAGCGGGAAGCCUGUUCCAAGAUGAGGUUUCUCACCACCUUGCGUGGUUAAGGCCCCCUACAGACCAUGGGGUUGAUAGGCCGGAACUGGAAGCGCAGCAAUGCGUGGAGGUGACCGGUACUAAUAGGCCGAGGGCUUACACCA